GGCAACGUCCACCUCGAUCCCAGUUCCGCCCUGACCAAAGUUUCUCUCUUUCUUUGAGUUCUAGGAGGGCCUCUUUCCAGAGAGGAUUCUUAGGUCCAUUUUGGACCUAUUGAAGGUAUUGUUCUGCAUAUUUUACCAUUCGCUGAGACGAUGAAACCAACACAGAAGAAAGGAACUCUGAGAUGAUUGCAGAGAUGGAAAUGAAGUCUGAUGACAUUGAGCAUCUAGCCCCAGACACCUGGGCUAGACUUUGCAGUCACUUGACCCAACACAUGAAGGAGACAUGCUUAUGUCCACCUGGAGGGCUGUACAGAAUCAUUCAUCGCUGCAUCAUUCUGAGUAACCACCAUGGGAAAUGACACAGGGUA